rnacentral:rRNA from 1 species
CAGCUAGUUGGUGAGGUAACGGCUCACCAAGGCAACGACGGGUAGCUGGUCUGAGAGGAUGGCCAGCCACAUUGGGACUGAGACACGGCCCAGACUCCUACGGGAGGCAGCAGUGGGGAAUAUUGCGCAAUGGACGAAAGUCUGACGCAGCGACGCCGCGUGUGGGAUGACGGUCUUCGGAUUGUAAACCACUGUCGGGAGGGACGAAUACGCCGCAAGGCGGGUGACGGUACCUCCAAAGGAAGCACCGGCUAACUCCGUGCCAGCAGCCGCGGUAAUACGGAGGGUGCGAGCGUUGUCCGGAAUCACUGGGCGUAAAGGGCGCGUAGGCGGCCUGAUAAGUAGGGGGUGAAAUCUUGCGGCUUAACCGCAAGGCUGCCUUCUAAACUGUCAGGCUGGAGCACAGUAGAGGCAGGUGGAAUUCCCGGUGUAGCGGUGGAAUGCGUAGAGAUCGGGAAGAACAUCAGUGGCG